rnacentral:rRNA from 1 species
CCUACGGGAUGCAGCAGUGGGGAAUAUUGCACAAUGGGGGAAACCCUGAUGCAGCAACGCCGCGUGGGUGAAGGAGCGUUUCGGCGCGUAAAGCCCUGUCAGCGGGGAAGAAGAAAGACGGUACCCGACCAAGAAGCCCCGGCUAACUACGUGCCAGCAGCCGCGGUAAUACGUAGGGGGCGAGCGUUAUCCGGAAUUACUGGGGAUAAAGGGAGCGUAGGUGGGCGCUUAAGUCAGGUGGGAAAACUCCGGGCUCAACCUGGAGACUGCAGUUGAAACUGGGUGUCUUGAGGGCAGGAGAGGAAAGUGGAAUUCCUAGUGUAGCGGUGAAAUGCGUAGAUAUUAGGAGGAACACCAGUGGCGAAGGCGACUUUCUGGACUGUACCUGACGCUGAGGCGCGAAAGCGUGGGUAGCGAACGGGAUUAGAUACCCUAGUAGUC